AAAAUUGGACACCGGAGCAACCGGUUGACCCAUCUCUAUUCUCUCUUCUUCCACAGUGCAUUCUCUCUAUACUUUCACUUUCGUGUCUCUCUCUGUGUCGCCCCCCCUCUCUCUCUCUCUCUCUGUUACCCUCUCUCUACUGCACUCAUUCCUCUCUCUUUCUCUGUCUCGCCUGAAUGGCCGAAGUGGUUGUUCUGUUUAAAACCCUAAUCUAACCCAGUGAGCCUCUGUUUGGUUUCUAAGAAAAGAAAGGAUUUGUUUUUUUGAAGAGCAAUCAACAAGUCGUUCCACGAAUGGAGAUCGAAGUCGCAGGCUAUGCAAUGAUUUGAAGAGGUAUUCACCCAAAAAAAGGAUUGAAGAGGCUUCUUGAAGAUCUCUAUCUUCUCCAGUAGCUUAUUUGUUUUAAAGAGUUCUCAUUGAAGAGCUGCUCUCACUCCAGUGGCGAAGGAGAUACUCAGGGACCACCGCAGCCAUUGAUAGCAGGCUCGAAGCUCUCAGUUUCAAGAACAUCGGUCCGCUCAGAUUCGUAUGAUCGAAGAGAGUCUCCGAUUUGCCAGUGUUCGUGGUGAUUACAUCUGUGGCUGGAGGAUUUUGCUGCAUUCGUUCUUGGUGCAAAAUCCCUUGGACUUUGCCUGUCGAAGCCCUAGAUAGUGAACUUUAAUGCACACGCGUGCACACACGAACAAAUGGACAAAAAUUGAAGCCAUGAGGAUAUGAACUAAGCAGGUAUAGCCAUUCGGAUUGGUAGGGUCCUUGAUGUGGUGAAGCGGUAGGAAAACACCUAAGCUUGUAUGGACAAAAGGUAGGUCUAGAUGCACGAGGAACUAAAAUCUGUGUAAGUGACAUUGAAUGAAUUGACAAAAAAAAAAUUGUAGAUACUCAUGAGGAUGGAGGACAAGGUAAGGAUGAGGAACACGAAGAAGAGUUGGGAAGAGAUGAAGAUGAUGAUGAUGAGGGAGAUGAAGAAGAGUCGGGAACAGAAGAUGUUGUAGACGGAGAUGAAUUUUUUAAGGAGCCUUGACCUUGGCCUUUUCAUUGUUUUUGUAGUUGAAUAUGUUAAUUUGUUUUGUGGUCGUCCCAAUUUGUUUAUGAACACUUUUUUCUUACUUUCGGGAGUUUAGUAUGAUAUGUUUUGUGUAUGCAAAAAAUUUUAUGGUUGGUGUUUUGGUAAAUAUGACCACACCAGGUUGUUUAUUGUUUGAAA